rnacentral:rRNA from 1 species
UACGGAGGGUGCGAGCGUUGUCCGGAAUCAUUGGGCGUAAAGCGCGUGUAGGCGGUUCGGUAAGUCUGCUGUGAAAGUCCAGGGCUCAACCCUGGGAUGCCGGUGGAUACUGUCGGACUAGAGUACGGAAGAGGCGAGUGGAAUUCCCGGUGUAGCGGUGAAAUGCGCAGAUAUCGGGAGGAACACCAAUUGCGAAGGCAGCUCGCUGGGACGUUACUGACGCUGAGACGCGAAAGCGUGGGGAGCAAACAGG